rnacentral:rRNA from 1 species
CCUACGGGUGGCAGCAGUGAGGAAUAUUGGUCAAUGGACGCAAGUCUGAACCAGCCACGCCGCGUGCAGGAAGACGGCUCUAUGAGUUGUAAACUGCUUUUGUACGAGGGUAAACGCAGAUACGCGUAUCUGUCUGAAAGUAUCGUACGAAUAAGGAUCGGCUAACUCCGUGCCAGCAGCCGCGGUAAUACGGAGGAUUCAAGCGUUAUCCGGAUUUAUUGGGUUUAAAGGGUGCGUAGGCGGUCGGAUAAGUUAGUGGUGAAAUCCCGAGGCUCAACUUCGGAAUUGCCUCUGAUACUGUCCGGCUAGAGAGUAGUUGCGGUAGGCGGAAUGUAUGGUGUAGCGGUGAAAUGCUUAGAGAUCAUACAGAACACCGAUUGCGAAGGCAGCUUACCAAGCUACUUCUGACGUUGAGGCACGAAAGCGUGGGGAGCAAACAGGAUUAGAUACCCUGGUAGUC